UACGUAGGGGGCAAGCGUUGUCCGGAAUCAUUGGGCGUAAAGGGCGCGUAGGCGGCGGGGUAAGUCGGGUGUGAAAUCUCAGAGCUCAACUCUGAAAUGGCACUUGAUACUGCUCUGCUAGAGGACUGGAGAGGAGAUUGGAAUUCACGGUGUAGCAGUGAAAUGCGUAGAUAUCGUGAGGAAGACCGGUGGCGAAGGCGGAUCUCUGGACAGUUCCUGACGCUGAGGCGCGAAGGCCAGGGGAGCAAACGGG
rnacentral:rRNA from 1 species